rnacentral:rRNA from 1 species
AAAUGACUCUCGGCAAUGGAUAUCUCGGCUCUUGCAUCGAUGAAGAACGUAGCGAAAUGCGAUACUUGGUGUGAAUUGCAGAAUCCCGUGAACCAUCGAGUCUUUGAACGCAAGUUGCGCCUGAAGCCAUUAGGCCGAGGGCACG